UACGUAGGGUGCAAGCGUUAAUCGGAAUUACUGGGCGUAAAGCGUGCGCAGGCGGCUUCGCAAGACAGAUGUGAAAUCCCCGGGCUUAACCUGGGAACUGCAUUUGUGACUGCAAGGCUGGAGUGCGGCAGAGGGGGAUGGAAUUCCGCGUGUAGCAGUGAAAUGCGUAGAUAUGUGGAGGAACACCGAUGGCGAAGGCAGCCCCCUGGGUUAACACUGACGCUCAUGCACGAAAGCGUGGGGAGCAAACAGG
rnacentral:rRNA from 1 species